UACAGAGGCCUCGAGCGUUAGGCGGAAUCACUGGGCUUAAAGCGUGUGUAGGCGGAUCGGUAAGUACCUUGUGAAAUCCCACGGCUUAACUGUGGAACUGCUGGGUAUACUGCCAGACUUGAGCCACUCAGGGGCUACCGGAACAAAUGGUGGAGCGGUGAAAUGCGUAGAUAUCAUUUGGAACGCCAACGGUGAAAACAGGUCGCUGGGGCUGUGCUGACGCUGAGACACGAAAGCCAGGGGAGCGAACGGG
rnacentral:rRNA from 1 species